GACGAACGCUGGCGGCGUGCUUAACACAUGCAAGUCGAACGGAAAGGCCCUGCUUUUGUGGGGUGCUCGAGUGGCGAACGGGUGAGUAACACGUGAGUAACCUGCCCUUGACUUUGGGAUAACUUCAGGAAACUGGGGCUAAUACCGGAUAGGAGCUCCUGCUGCAUGGUGGGGGUUGGAAAGUUUCGGCGGUUGGGGAUGGACUCGCGGCUUAUCAGCUUGUUGGUGGGGUAGUGGCUUACCAAGGCUUUGACGGGUAGCCGGCCUGAGAGGGUGACCGGCCACAUUGGGACUGAGAGACGGCCCAGACUCCUACGGGAGGCAGCAGGGGGGAAUAUGGCACAAUGGGCGGAAGCCUGAUGCAGCAACGCCGCGUGCGGGAGGACGGCCUUCGGGUGGUAAACCGCUUUCGCCUGUGACGAAGCGUGAGUGACGGUAAUGGGUAAAGAAGCACCGGCGAACUACGU
rnacentral:rRNA from 1 species